GGUGGUUAAUUGCCGAUUUUCCAUGCAAAGCCUUGCAAAUUCGAGAGCUUCCCUCCAUAUGGAAACUGCUAACGUUAUUCUAUUUCGACCCACUGUCUCCCGAUCUUCGGCCUUCAGUCUAUCGAUCCAGACCAAACGCGCCGAGUUGCCGCACUAACGCGGGCAGCACUAAACUAGGAGACUACGGAUAUGGCCACUGGCACCGUAAAAUGGUUCAACACAACUAAAGGCUACGGCUUCAUCGCACCUGAAGGUGGCAGCAAAGAUGUAUUUGUACACAUCUCAGCUGUUGAGCGUUCAGGCCUGACAGGUCUGGCUGACAACCAAAAAGUAACCUUCGACAUCGAAGCAGGCCGUGACGGCCGCGAGUCGGCUGUUAACAUCUCGGUUGACUAAGCUUUUAAAGCUCUAAGUUAGUGAAACGCGGUCCAACUGGGGCCGCGUUUUUCG
rnacentral:misc_RNA from 1 species